GUACACUCCUGCGGGAGGCAGCAGUGGGGAAUUUUGGACAAUGGGCGAAAGCCUGAUCCAGCAAUGCCGCGUGAGUGAAGAAGGCCUUCGGGUUGUAAAGCUCUUUUGUCAGGGAAGAAACGGUGAAAGCUAAUAUCUUUUGCUAAUGACGGUACCUGAAGAAUAAGCACCUGCUAACUACGUGCCAGCAGCCGCGGUAAUACGUAGGGUGCAAGCGUUAAUCGGAAUUACUGGGCGUAAAGCGUGCGCAGGCGGUUUUGUAAGUCUGAUGUGUAAUCCCCGGGCUCAACCUGGGAAUUGCAUUGGAGACUGCAAGGCUAGAAUCUGGCAGAGGGGGGUAGAAUUCCACGUGUAGCAGUGAAAUGCGUAGAUAUGUGGAGGAACACCGAUGGCGAAGGCAGCCCCCUGGGUCGAGAUUGACGCUCAUGCACGAAAGCGUGGGGAGCAAACAGGAUUAGAUACCCGGGUAGUCCCAUGAU
rnacentral:rRNA from 1 species